UACGGAGGGUGCGAGCGUUGCUCGGAGUUAUUGGGCGUAAAGCGUACGCAGGCGGCUCGGUAAGUCGAGUGUGAAAUCCCGAGGCUCAACCUCGGACGUGCAUUCGAUACUGUCGGACUAGAGUCCGGAAGAGGCAAGUGGAAUUCCCGGUGUAGCGGUGAAAUGCGCAGAUAUCGGGAGGAACACCAAUGGCGAAGGCAGCUUGCUGGGACGGUACUGACGCUGAGGCGGCGAAAGCGUG
rnacentral:rRNA from 1 species